UACGAAGGGGGCUAGCGUUGCUCGGAAUUACUGGGCGUAAAGGGCGCGUAGGCGGCACUGUUAGUCAGGCGUGAAAGUCCUGGGCUCAACCUGGGAACUGCGCUUGAUACGGCAGAGCUAGAGGAUGGAAGAGGCUCGCGGAAUUCCCAGUGUAGAGGUGAAAUUCGUAGAUAUUGGGAAGAACACCAGUGGCGAAGGCGACUCGCUGGACAGACAUUGACGCUGAGGUGCGAAAGCGUGGGGAGCAAACAGG
rnacentral:rRNA from 1 species